UUCCUCGUCCCACUCUCACAAAAACAAAUAAAAAGCUUCCAACUUUCUCACUGGAAAACAAAUCAAAUCGCAUAAUCAAUCUCGGUUCAAGAAGCUUACAGUUGAUUGAGCAUCUGGGCAUCUCAGUGAAACGAAAUUGAAGCAUAAAAAUGGCAGAAGUAGUUAAAAAAUUCUUCAUUGCAUCGAUGUUCAUGUGGAUAUCUCCUCUCGCGAUCUUAUUUGGUUUUAGUCAUAAUUUACUUCCUGAUAUCUGUGAGUUAUACAUCUUAAUGGAAUUAAGAGAUACUGCGUAGAAAACUGAAGCAAGGAAAGAAAGGCGGAGAAAUGGAAAACCAAAAGAAUGUUCAGCCCAUUUGUCUCCUUACAGUUACAGCAUGACACUGUUGAGUGGAUUAAUUACUUGCUGUUAUAUCGGUCAAUAUUUUUAUUGCGUUCUAUAUUUAUUUGGCAAUUAAGGAACCCUUGGGCAAACACAAACCAGAUCCUGCAUUUCUCGCCAAGGCCAAAGCUAGACUAAAAAGGAAUUUUCAUCAAGAGGUGAUCUAAUUGUACAAGAUCAAACCAACACAACAAGAGCAACAAUGCAUAGUAAUUGUGAGAUGGAAACCGAGUUUAGCAUCACCUUUAUCAUUUCACGUUUAUCUACAUUGGCAUUCAUAAUCAUAUGUUCUUGACUGUCUUGCUAUUAUCCUUUUAGUGCUCUACAAGUGUCGCUCUACGUAGAGAACGAUGAUGCCAUCUAGCAUAAGCUAGACUAUCACUCAAUAAUGAAUUCGUUCAUUGGAAACUUUUCCGGGUGAUUAAGGUUUGUGGUUAUAGCGAAAUUAGAAGGGAGAAAGUUGAGUUUAUGAAGAAAUGUAGACAAAAAAUAGACUAGGGGAUUUACUUUGGGUUGAGUA